rnacentral:misc_RNA from 1 species
UGGCUCUCGCAUCGAUGAAGAACGCAGCGAAACGCGAAAUGUAAUGUGAAUUGCAGAAUUCAGUGAAUCAUCGAAUCUUUGAACGCACCUUGCGCUCUCGGGUUAUUCCUGGGAGCAUGCUUGUUUGAGUGUCGCUUACCCCUCUCAAACCCCUAGCUUUCCUUUUUGGGAAGCUAGAGCCUAGGUUUGGAUCGUGAGGCCUUUGUCGAUUUUGACCAAAAGUCCGACUGCCUUGAAUAGCAACAAGCUGUAUCCUGCAUACAAAGCGGCUUGACCCGUUGUCGUAACUUUAAACUCAAUGGGAACGCUUUCGUGAAAAGGAAUGGGCUUACCAUAAACAUUUUCCUGCAAAGGAGAUACUUAUCACAAAAUGACCUCAAAUCAAGUAGGACUACCCGCUGA